GCGAGUGUAACUCAGUUGGUUAGAGUGCCAGGUUGUGGCUCUGGAAGCCGGGGGUUCAAGUCCCCUCUCCCGC
rnacentral:tRNA from 1 species